UUUACAAUAGUUAGCUAAUGGUACAAACAACAUUUGGAAAAAUAUUAAGUGGUCCACCGAGACCCUCAACAAUUUUCAAGUAGUCCACGAAAAAAAAAGUUUGAGAACCACUGUUCUAAACAGCAUAGGGAACAUUUUCCUAAUCAUCCUUCAGAAAGGCUGGCACACCAGCCAUCUAAUAAGGUUAACAAACCUCUCCUGCAAGUUGGAAAUUUUUUACUUCUUAAAUAUUUGCAGAUAAAAUGAAGAAGACUCACUGUAGCUAGGAGGGGUGGGGGACAAUGGACGGCUGGCCUAGAUGCCAUGAGUGCUGCAAGAUGCUGAGGUAAUAUCAUUUAUUGGAACAACUUCUGUUGGCAAAAGAGAUGAGCUUUUGAGCUAUACAGAGCUGAAGAAGAGCUCACCUACAGAAGUUGGCCCAAUAAAAAUUACCUCAUUCACCUUGUCUGUCUGACAUCCUGGGACCAGCAUGGUAUAACCACACUAGAUGAAAUGCCACCAUAAGCAUCAGGCCUGAAAUACAGCCCAAUUCUGGAAGGUGUUGAACACUUUGCCAGCUGCCUAGUAUCCCAAACUCCCAGGAUGAAAUCCUGGCCCUAUUGAAGUCAAUAGUAGUUUUCAAUAGGGCCAGGAUUUCACUUCCCAUGACUUAAAGUGAAGUCAGUGGGAACUUAGGAUUGUCUAUGCAUUGUGGGUCAGGCCAUUAGACUGCUUGGAAAUGCAUGUUCCAAUCCUCCCCAGCUUUUUUGGCCCCUUCUCUGUUAGAUACAUUAAGCUUUGGGUAGAUUAUUGUGUAUGUACCUUUCCAAAAAGACCUUAAAAACCAUAGUCUUUACUGUGUGGACAUUAAAGAUUUCAAAGCAUUCUCUGUAAGAGUUAGGGUCCACUCUCUGGUUAUCCUUUGCCAAUAUGUUAUUUUCUCCACCAUGCUGUUGCUCCGAGAGUCAAUUCUCUAGCUGGCUACUACCCUGCAUCCACGUCAGAAGUGACUGCAGUUCAGUGGUGAGUAAAGUGAUUCCUGCAUAUGAAGGGCCCAAUCCUGUAAUCCUCAUCCUAUAGUCCUUUGGGAGCCCAAUUUACCUCUUCUGCGAAUAAGGACCAUUGAUUGGGCUGAGAUGCAUGGGGGUGACAAAGCCUACAAUACAAACAUUGAAGAUUAACAGCCACAUUUUCAAAGGUGGCCUCUUUUUGGGUUCUCAACUUGAGACGCCCCAGGCCUGAUUUUCUGAGGUGCUGAAUACCUGCAAUGCCACUUGAAGUCAACAGGAACUGCAGUUGCUUGAAACUACAAUUGGCAGGAAAAUGUUGGAUUCCAAAGUUUUUCAGUGAAAAACACAGACCUUUUUUGCAAAAUGUUUUGCACUUUCCUCAUUUUCGUUUAGUUCUACUCAAACCCUCUGAAAAUCAGGUCAAAAGUGGCUCAAAUUGUGCUCCCCAAAUCUUGAGGCAUCCUAAUUCAAAGAGUACUUUUGAAAAUUUUGGCCAUAAUACUUUCCUAAGAUGAACAACUUCAAAACACUUUUCUUAACAUCACAUGUAUCCAUGGUCGUGUUGUUAUUCAUAAAUUGUAUUCCAGUAGCACUGAGGUUCCAACCAAGCCUGGGGCCCAGGCACAGUAGAAGCAGAGUAGGAGAUGAUGUAUUAUCCUUUGUAAUCACAAAACAAAGUCAACAGUGAUGUCCCUUUAAGCAUACUUGGGACAAAGGUUAAGUCCUAUCAAACUACUUUGCUGUUUGAAUUUGUUUAUUUAAAUAAAGUUUGCUUUUGGACAUCUAUUAUUUCUAAAAGGGGUUAAAACAUUGGGAAAAGUGUAAAUGGUCAUUGCUUCAACAACACAGCAACAUGUUUGCUAUGGAAAACAUAAAAUGACAGGAAAUGGCUUAACGGGGGAGGUGUUCAAUUUUAAGGCUUCUGUUGACAGAAGUUGAUGAGUGAAAAUACUGCAUUCAAUAAGGAGCGUAGAAUUUUGAUGCAGCCUAGAGGGACAGCUUUGUUCUAUGGUGGUCUAAAUUGGGAUUUUACAUUAAUGUAACCAAUCAGAACCCUUGUUAAAGCUAGAGUCAAAAGGGAAGACUGAGCAAAAGCACCACAAAGUUUAUCUUUUGCUCAUCUGGAAGAGUUUAUUUUAAAAACAGAACAUUGUUUGCUGCUGUUGAAAUGAAAGUGUGAGAGUUGCAGCUUUCUUCUGAUGCCAUCUGGCAGAUGAUUUAAUGGUGUGUGGUAUUCACUAAUCCAAAUAACCCUGUGUGUGGUAACCAUUGUCUCUUUACUGAUCGUGCAGCUGGGUUGAUUGAACUCUAGAGGGCUCAUGCAAGACUAUCAAUGGUGGGACUGUAGAUAAUUUAAAAUGACCACAGUAUUAAAGAAAUGUAUAUGAUACAAAACAUGCCUACCAAAUCCAUGGUGUUUUUAUUAAGAAUCCUCCCUUUUAUUGACCCUAAUUCAGAUUGUUGUAUGCAGUGCAGUUGUAGCCGUGUUGGUCCCAGGAUAUUAAUAAAAAAUAUUACCUCACCCACCUUGUCUGUCUCAUGUCAGAUCAACAUUUGGCUUAAGUCUGUGGUCUUGAUUCACCACGUUAACUCUAGUUCUAUGCAGGUUACUUCAUUGAAAUCAAUACCAAUACCAGCAUAACCUUGGAAUAACAGAAUCGUGUAUGGGACUUAGUGCUGACCAUUCAAAAGGCUUUCUCCUUUAGAUUUGUUUAACGUUUUUGUUAAUUAUAUAGUUGAAUUUCUAACGGUUGUCCUUUUUGUGAGUUAUUUCUUUUCAAUUUUAAGGCCAGUUUAAAAUUCAUGAAAGCACCACAUUCUUUGAUUAACCCUGGAAAUAAAAGUCGUGCAUAGAAUUAUAUUAUUAUAAGGACAGGAAAGGAGUUACAGAUAUAUAUAAAUGCACUGGAAAGAACAUGGUACAACUGAAUCCAAGAAUGCAAAAGAGAAGGUGUCAAAAAAAUACACAUGAGAGGGUCUCAGCUACAUGUCAUGGAAUAGAAUUCAGAGAUUCUUCAGAAUAAAUAUUUGGGGCUGGAUUUGUCUCCCACCAAUUCUCCAGUGGUGAAACUUCACUGACUUCAGAGCAAUUUCUCCUGAUUGAGUCUGUAAGUGGUUAGAGUAUCAGAACCAUUAUUAUCAACAUACCAUUAUUUCUGUGUAUUUCCAUUUCCGAAUUAAGGCCCUGCUUUUGGAAUUGGAUCCACUAGCACGGACCUCAGGAUGAUAGAAUUACACAGUUUCUCUUUUCUCUUUUAAGUCCAGGAGGUACCGUUAUAUCAUCUAGACUGACUUCCUGAAUAACACAGGCAAAAUAAUUUCACCCAGUUACCCUUCUGUUGAGCCCAAUAACUUGUGUUUGGCUAAAGCACAUCUUCUAGCAAGCAUCCAAUUUAGAUCUGAAGACAUCAAGAGAUGGAGAAUCCACCCCCUUCCCUUGUUCCAAUGCAAUUCAGAUUCUACCUAGGCUGGAAGAUUCUAUGAUGACUGGAGAACUUCUGAAAUGGUGAAAUCACAAGCGAGCUGUAAAGAGGGUACAGAAUUAGAAUCAUUUUGAAUUUUAAUCCUAUCCUCCAAAGCACUUGCAACCUCUGCCAGCUUGGU